AGAGUUUGAUCCUGGCUCAGGAUGAACGCUGGCGGCGUGCCUAAUACAUGCAAGUCGAACGCUUCACUUCGGUGAAGAGUGGCGAACGGGUGAGUAAUACAUAAGUAACCUGGCAUCUACAGGGGGAUAACUGAUGGAAACGUCAGCUAAGACCGCAUAGGUGUAGAGAUCGCAUGAACUCUAUAUGAAAAGUGCUACGGGACUGGUAGAUGAUGGACUUAUGGCGCAUUAGCUUGUUGGUAGGGUAACGGCCUACCAAGGCGACGAUGCGUAGCCGACCUGAGAGGGUGACCGGCCACACUGGGACUGAGACACGGCCCAGACUCCUACGGGAGGCAGCAGUAGGGAAUUUUCGGCAAUGGGGGAAACCCUGACCGAGCAACGCCGCGUGAAGGAAGAAGUAAUUCGUUAUGUAAACUUCUGUCAUAGAGGAAGAACGGUGGAUAUAGGGAAUGAUAUCCAAGUGACGGUACUCUAUAAGAAAGCCACGGCUAACUACGUGCCAGCAGCCGCGGUAAUACGUAGGUGGCGAGCGUUAUCCGGAAUUAUUGGGCGUAAAGAGGGAGCAGGCGGCACUAAGGGUCUGUGGUGAAAGAUCGAAGCUUAACUUCGGUAAGCCAUGGAAACCGUAGAGCUAGAGUGUGUGAGAGGAUCGUGGAAUUCCAUGUGUAGCGGUGAAAUGCGUAGAUAUAUGGAGGAACACCAGUGGCGAAGGCGACGAUCUGGCGCAUAACUGACGCUCAGUCCCGAAAGCGUGGGGAGCAAAUAGGAUUAGAUACCCUAGUAGUCCACGCCGUAAACGAUGAGUACUAAGUGUUGGGGGUCAAACCUCAGUGCUGCAGUUAACGCAAUAAGUACUCCGCCUGAGUAGUACGUUCGCAAGAAUGAAACUCAAAGGAAUUGACGGGGGCC
rnacentral:rRNA from 1 species